GGGGGGAGGCCGGAUCCUGAGCUGUGUCCCAGGGUCCCUGUGCUCCCGGGCCUGCGCUGUUGGAUUCGGGAUCCCAGCCGCCUAGCCCCAU
rnacentral:pre_miRNA from 1 species